CUAGACCAAGUUUCACAUCACAGUUGAGAGGAGACGUGCAUAGGAACUGCGUCAUCUGGUUCCACACUCGCUCCAGUGAUGUUUGAGCCCCAGCAUAGAUCAGCAUGCCAGGAAGCAGCCCACCGGACCCACCCCUGAUCAUGGCACUGGACAUUGUUUUCCGUGCUUUUCUCAGGCUGGUUUCUGCCUGUCCCAACCCUGGCCAUGGCUGACAAGGGGCCCAGGGACACUGGAGCAGAGAGACCUGCUGGUCCUUGGGGUUUCUUGCAAGCUGCCUCUAAAGGGAAAUAUCCCAGGAGUGAUGAAAACUUGAAGAUCGAGGAUUGGAUAUAAGCUCAGAGGUGAAGGAGGGAAAUUCCUCGGGUCAACUUUAGCGGACUGAUCCACGGGGUCUGCCAAGAGACAGGAGCUCGAGGGUUAAACCCAAGCACUCGGGAGUCAGAUGUAUGAAUCUGAAUCUCAGCCUCUCGGCUUGCUGUGUAAUCUCAGGCAAGUGACUUUUCUGUUCUGUAAAUCAGGCUGAUAGCGGGGGAACCUCUCUCACAGGGCUGCUACAAAGAUUGCAUGAGAUUUUGCUCAACAAAUAUUAGCUGUUGGCUCCAGAGUUUAAUACCUCUGAUCACUACAAGCUUUGAAGGCAAGAUAAAAUAACUUCAACAUAGUGAAUCAUCUGUGAACACUUCCUGUGAACGUGUGACUAUGAUUAUGGAACACUCUGUUGCAUCAAGAUGGCCAGAGAUUGUCUCAGAGUCCAGGCAGUGGGAGGAGGGGGGAUUUGUUUCCUGGCUGGGUGGUCGUAGGGCAUCAAGGGAUGAGCAGCUUUGGUUGUCUGGGAUUUCAGCAGCUUGAGGGGAGCUGUAGGGCCCCAGAGCUGUCGCUGUGGCUGUGGUGUCAGAAAUGUAAGCAAGGUGCCUCCAUGGAGGUUAGCGAGGGUGCCCCUCUGAAUGCCGGGUGGAAUGCAACCUUUCGCAUGGAGGAGGCCCUCAGCAGCUGACCUCUGUCUUCCCUGUGUAGAGGGAGGGAGGCUGAGGCUGGGGCUGAGCGAGGGGUAAAGUAAGCCACGUGUCUCAUCAGCUAGCCUGCAGCAAGCACAGCCCUCUGGGAGGGCUGGUUCUAUCCUCCUCCUUGGUGUGAAAUCCAUCAAUCUAAUAGGGAUCCUUAUUUUCCCAGCCACCAAGUCACAAUGAGCAAUAAUCUCUUCUUGUUGGUGCAUAUAAAUUUGCUUCAUUCUUUUUUAAACAGCUGCCUUGUGUCGCCUUUUGCAUUCAGCCCAAGUCCAGCCUAGGAGGACAGCCUUAUCUUAAGUCACUGAGGGAACUAGCUUGCCUAACUGAAAGGGCUUUGCCCUGGAAGGAGAAGGGUCUUCUGGAAACAUAAAACGUUUCAGGGGAGGGCAGUCCUGAAUGAGAUGGCUCUAGGGGGUGGGGGACACUGGACCGCCUGAAGGUACUGGGCAUCUGGCCUGGGCUUUUGAGGAAAUGCAAAGCCAUGCUAUAGAUGAUGCUGAGCAAAGGCGGGAGAGAGACGUGGGGGUCCUACCGGGGUCACUUGAAAACCCCUUCUCCGGCCUCCCCCACGCUAACCCAUCUCUCCUGGCACGCAAGUCUGGAAAGGCCACUGGCCCUAACCAUGCUGGCUCUGCGUCCACCUUCCUCUUCAAUUCAAAUGGCUUGGAUAAAGCCAUGGGUUAUGACGCUUAACCCAUCACUGUGGGAAACUGGAUGACUUGGGGAACAAAGCCAACCUUUUGCUGUCUUGCGGAGGCAGGCAGUGGAGGGUUAUUGCCAAAAGCCUGAGCUCCGGAGCUGUGAUCUCUGAGUCUCAGUUUCCCCGUGUAAAAUGUGAUUCGAAUGAUACCUACUUCACAGGGGUAUUGUAGGGAUUGAAGGAAAUAAUGGGGAGAAGGCAUUUAUCCAAUGCCCGGCAUAGACUCUCGCAGUAACUCCCAGUUGCUCAGGCUAGUCGGGGAGGGUGGGACUGCGGCUCUAGCAGAGCCAUGGCGCCACCUUGCGGUUCUGUCGGCCAGGACAGUCGGUUAAUCAGAUUCAAAUCCAGUGACCCUUUUUCAAGCGCCUGUGAGUAGGCCUGUGCUGGGUUGAACUCAUUAUUAUUUAAACAUGUAAACUGUGUAAUGGUAAGUACAGUGCUAGUGUCUAACAGAACAUCUUGGAAAGAUCUUACAGUGCGAUGCUGGAGAAACAUCGUUUGGAAGGAACCCGCUCUCCACGCCCCCAUCAAAGGGACCCCCUUCUAAGCUACCAUGACUGCUCAAAUACCCCAGACGUUCCCAGCUUCAGCGACUAACUGGAAACAAGGUUUUGUUAGCUUAAGAGCAAGGAGAGGGGAUUCAUGAUCAGAUUUAAAAUGUCUCCUCAGUUUCCAAGUCCUGCCAUAUUGCUUCUCCCAGUUUCACUCAAACCCCCGCUCCCCUCCCCAGCCCCCUAGCCCACCACUGGUCUGCUGUCUUUCCUCUCUCCGGACCCGCUCAGGUCUCCCAUUCCCUUUGCUUUUCCCCUCCACCCCCACCUCCACUGUAACCUGCUAUGGUUAGUCUCCUCCUCUUCCUGCUGCACCCCUC
rnacentral:lncRNA from 1 species